GAAAUAACUUUGGCUAUCAUCCUGACUCUACUGGGACUUGCUAUUCUGGCUCUUUUGUUAACAAGAUGGACACAACUCAAGCAAAAUGAAAUGGAUGGCUCAAGAUACAAUUCAGAACAAAGUGCCAGUCUUCUGGACUAUGAGGACGGUAGAGG